UACAGAGGUCUCAAGCGUUGUUCGGAUUCACUGGGCGUAAAGGGUGCGUAGGCGGCGCGGUAAGUCGGGUGUGAAAUCUCGGAGCUUAACUUCGAAACUGCAUUCGAUACUGCCGUGCUUGAGGACUGGAGAGGAGACUGGAAUUUACGGUGUAGCGGUGAAAUGCGUAGAUAUCGUAAGGAAGACCAGUGGCGAAGGCGGGUCUCUGGACAGUUCCUGACGCUGAGGCACGAAGGCCAGGGGAGCAAACGGG
rnacentral:rRNA from 1 species